CGGGAGGCCACAUGGAAACGAGCUCACAGCCAAAGAUUUUCUAAUGUAUUUCCCGACGGAGUGCAUGGUAUCUCUCGAUACCACUUUCAGCAGGAGAAGCGUGAAACCCUGAAAAUUAGUAUGUUCAGUGUCAUGUCAUCCUCUCUGCCUGCCCGUCACUAGUCCUCUUUGCUAGCAGAACUUGGCACCAGACGGACCUGGAGCACACACUGGGAGAGAGUGCAGCGCUGGGGAAAGCAGGAGCAGUGCUGUGGGGGGAGCUGAGUGUCAGUGUGUGAUACUGAGGGACUACAUUCCUUCUGAACUGGGAGAGUACAUCAGCACCCUGAAGAGAGGGGUGCAGCGAAGAGCGAUGCCAUGGCAACGAUUGUUGUGCCAGACCACAUGAUCCUCCUUUCUGACCCCUUCUCCAACUUCCUCCUUGACCCGUGUCAUGACCUCAGUCGCCUUCUCACUAACUUCCUGUGCCAGUGCUAUCAGGGCUGGGCGGGUGAGGAGGGUCAGGAAAGGAUAGCCUCGAUCACUAAUACUUAGGUGAGGAGUGUCAGGAAAGGAUAGCCUCGAUCACCAAUAUAUAAUAUAAUAAUACCUCUUUUGUUUAUUUAGUUGGUGUACAGUGGCAUCAUUGCAAUUCCACCAAGUGUAUCAAAUUGAGAACAGUGGCAGUUGCCAUGCUAAGGCACUUCCUCGGCGUACUCAUUAAAUACAAUUCAGUUCCACUCGUGACAUGUUGAAGUUGUGAUAGUCAGACAGACUUUCCCAAAUCGACACAGUGUUUCAGUAACAAAAUGGGUGUGACAUUUCAUCGUACAUCUCCUGUCAAAUGCAUAAAUGCAAAAGAAUACCACUUCUAAAAGUUAGAUCACAUGGGCAUCUCCAACCUGAACCAUGUCUGUAUCCCAGUGCAGUUGUGUGAGUACAUUCAUUGUCAGUUCAAGAGUGCGGUUCCUAUAGAUGCUAUA